AUGACCAUUAACAAGGCUCAAGGGCAGACCAUCCCGAUUGUUGGUGUCUACCUACCCAAUCCCGUGUUCUCUCAUGGUCAGCUCUAUGUUGCUUUGUCUCGAGCCACCGCAAAGAGAAACAUAAAGAUACUCAUUCAGAAGGAGAAGGCGAAGGAGAAGGCCAACAAGCAAAAGGACAAUCCAAAGAAGCGAAAAACCUUGUCCUUACUGACCUCGAUGAAGAACAUAGUCUACAAGGAAGUCCUUACUGGCUGA
rnacentral:rRNA from 1 species